UUAAGCGACUAAGCGUACACGGUGGAUGCCCUGGCAGUCAGAGGCGAUGAAGGACGUGCUAAUCUGCGAUAAGCGUCGGUGAGGUGAUAUGAACCGUUAUAACCGGCGAUUUCCGAAUGGGGAAACCCAGUGUGAUUCGUCACACUAUCAUUAACUGAAUCCAUAGGUUAAUGAGGCGAACCGGGGGAACUGAAACAUCUAAGUACCCCGAGGAAAAGAAAUCAACCGAGAUUCCCCCAGUAGCGGCGAGCGAACGGGGAGGAGCCCAGAGCCUGAAUCAGUGUGUGUGUUAGUGGAAGCGUCUGGAAAGGCGCGCGAUACAGGGUGACAGCCCCGUACACAAAAAUGCACAUAUUGUGAGCUCGAUGAGUAGGGCGGGACACGUGGUAUCCUGUCUGAAUAUGGGGGGACCAUCCUCCAAGGCUAAAUACUCCUGACUGACCGAUAGUGAACCAGUACCGUGAGGGAAAGGCGAAAAGAACCCCGGCGAGGGGAGUGAAAAAGAACCUGAAACCGUGUACGUACAAGCAGUGGGAGCCUCUUAAUGGGGUGACUGCGUACCUUUUGUAUAAUGGGUCAGCGACUUAUAUUCUGUAGCAAGGUUAACCGAAUAGGGGAGCCGAAGGGAAACCGAGUCUUAACUGGGCGUUAAGUUGCAGGGUAUAGACCCGAAACCCGGUGAUCUAGCCAUGGGCAGGUUGAAGGUUGGGUAACACUAACUGGAGGACCGAACCGACUAAUGUUGAAAAAUUAGGGGAUGACUUGUGGCUGGGGGUGAAAGGCCAAUCAAACCGGGAGAUAGCUGGUUCUCCCCGAAAGCUAUUUAGGUAGCGCCUCGUGAAUUCAUCUCCGGGGGUAGAGCACUGUUUCGGCAAGGGGGUCAUCCCGACUUACCAACCCGAUGCAAACUGCGAAUACCGGAGAAUGUUAUCACGGGAGACACACGGCGGGUGCUAACGUCCGUCGUGAAGAGGGAAACAACCCAGACCGCCAGCUAAGGUCCCAAAGUCAUGGUUAAGUGGGAAACGAUGUGGGAAGGCCCAGACAGCCAGGAUGUUGGCUUAGAAGCAGCCAUCAUUUAAAGAAAGCGUAAUAGCUCACUGGUCGAGUCGGCCUGCGCGGAAGAUGUAACGGGGCUAAACCAUGCACCGAAGCUGCGGCAGCGACACUAUGUGUUGUUGGGUAGGGGAGCGUUCUGUAAGCCUGUGAAGGUGGCCUGUGAGGGUUGCUGGAGGUAUCAGAAGUGCGAAUGCUGACAUAAGUAACGAUAAAGCGGGUGAAAAGCCCGCUCGCCGGAAGACCAAGGGUUCCUGUCCAACGUUAAUCGGGGCAGGGUGAGUCGACCCCUAAGGCGAGGCCGAAAGGCGUAGUCGAUGGGAAACAGGUUAAUAUUCCUGUACUUGGUGUUACUGCGAAGGGGGGACGGAGAAGGCUAUGUUGGCCGGGCGACGGUUGUCCCGGUUUAAGCGUGUAGGCUGGUUUUCCAGGCAAAUCCGGAAAAUCAAGGCUGAGGCGUGAUGACGAGGCACUACGGUGCUGAAGCGACAAAUGCCCUGCUUCCAGGAAAAGCCUCUAAGCAUCAGGUAACAUCAAAUCGUACCCCAAACCGACACAGGUGGUCAGGUAGAGAAUACCAAGGCGCUUGAGAGAACUCGGGUGAAGGAACUAGGCAAAAUGGUGCCGUAACUUCGGGAGAAGGCACGCUGAUAUGUAGGUGAAGCGACUUGCUCGUGGAGCUGAAAUCAGUCGAAGAUACCAGCUGGCUGCAACUGUUUAUUAAAAACACAGCACUGUGCAAACACGAAAGUGGACGUAUACGGUGUGACGCCUGCCCGGUGCCGGAAGGUUAAUUGAUGGGGUUAGCGGUAACGCGAAGCUCUUGAUCGAAGCCCCGGUAAACGGCGGCCGUAACUAUAACGGUCCUAAGGUAGCGAAAUUCCUUGUCGGGUAAGUUCCGACCUGCACGAAUGGCGUAAUGAUGGCCAGGCUGUCUCCACCCGAGACUCAGUGAAAUUGAACUCGCUGUGAAGAUGCAGUGUACCCGCGGCAAGACGGAAAGACCCCGUGAACCUUUACUAUAGCUUGACACUGAACAUUGAGCCUUGAUGUGUAGGAUAGGUGGGAGGCUUUGAAGUGUGGACGCCAGUCUGCAUGGAGCCGACCUUGAAAUACCACCCUUUAAUGUUUGAUGUUCUAACGUGGGCCCCUUACCGGGGUUGCGGACAGUGUCUGGUGGGUAGUUUGACUGGGGCGGUCUCCUCCUAAAGAGUAACGGAGGAGCACGAAGGUUGGCUAAUCCUGGUCGGACAUCAGGAGGUUAGUGCAAUGGCAUAAGCCAGCUUGACUGCGAGCGUGACGGCGCGAGCAGGUGCGAAAGCAGGUCAUAGUGAUCCGGUGGUUCUGAAUGGAAGGGCCAUCGCUCAACGGAUAAAAGGUACUCCGGGGAUAACAGGCUGAUACCGCCCAAGAGUUCAUAUCGACGGCGGUGUUUGGCACCUCGAUGUCGGCUCAUCACAUCCUGGGGCUGAAGUAGGUCCCAAGGGUAUGGCUGUUCGCCAUUUAAAGUGGUACGCGAGCUGGGUUUAGAACGUCGUGAGACAGUUCGGUCCCUAUCUGCCGUGGGCGCUGGAGAACUGAGGGGGGCUGCUCCUAGUACGAGAGGACCGGAGUGGACGCAUCACUGGUGUUCGGGUUGUCAUGCCAAUGGCACUGCCCGGUAGCUAAAUGCGGAAGAGAUAAGUGCUGAAAGCAUCUAAGCACGAAACUUGCCCCGAGAUGAGUUCUCCCUGACUCCUUGAGAGUCCUGAAGGAACGUUGAAGACGACGACGUUGAUAGGCCGGGUGUGUAAGCGCAGCGAUGCGUUGAGCUAACCGGUACUAAUGAACCGUGAGGCUUAACCUU
rnacentral:rRNA from 1 species